rnacentral:rRNA from 1 species
AAAGGAAUUGACGGGGGCCCGCACAAGCGGUGGAGCAUGUGGUUUAAUUCGAUGAUACGCGAGGAACCUUACCAGGGCUUGAACGCAUUAUGACCGUCCCGGAAACGGGAUUUCCUUCGGGCAUUCUGCGAGGUGCUGCAUGGUUGUCGUCAGCUCGUGCCGUGAGGUGUCAGGUUAAGUCCUAUAACGAGCGCAACCCCUACCGUUAGUUGCCAUCGGGUAAAGCCGGGGACUCUAGCGGGACUGCCGGUGCAAACCGCGAGGAAGGCGGGGACGACGUCAAAUCAUCACGGCCCUUACGCCCUGGGCCACACACGUGCUACAAUGGCCGGCACAACGGGCUGCCACGCCGCAAGGCGGAGCGAAUCCACAAAGCCGGUCACAGUUCGGAUCGGGGUCUGCAACCCGACCCCGUGAAGCUGGAAUCGCUAGUAAUCGGAUAUCAGCCAUGAUCCGGUGAAUACGUUCCCGGGCCUUGUACACACCGCCCGU